CCUACGGGGGGCAGCAGUGAGGAAUAUUGGUCAAUGGGCGAGAGCCUGAACCAGCCAAGUCGCGUGAAGGAUGAAGGAUCUAUGGUUUGUAAACUUCUUUUAUAUGGGAAUAAAGUGAGGCACGUGUUCCUUUUUGUAUGUACCAUAUGAAUAAGCAUCGGCUAACUCCGUGCCAGCAGCCGCGGUAAUACGGAGGAUGCGAGCGUUAUCCGGAUUUAUUGGGUUUAAAGGGUGCGUGGGUGGUUAAUUAAGUCAGCGGUGAAAGUUUGGGGUUCAACCUAAAAUUGCCGUUGAAACUGGUGGACUUGAGUAUAUUUGAGGUAGGCGGAAUGCGUGGUGUAGCGGUGAAAUGCAUAGAUAUCACGCAGAACUCCGAUUGCGAAGGCAGCUUACUAAACUAUAACUGACACUGAAGCACGAAAGCGUGGGGAUCAAACAGGAUUAGAUACCCGGGUAGUC
rnacentral:rRNA from 1 species